AUCCCACCUUUUACACCACCCUCAAUGUUUAUUAUCUAGAACUCUGUUUACAAACAGUUUUGUUUUCAUAUCAUUUUUUGGUAUUUUCAUUUUUUAUAUUUUUUUUUUAUAUUUUUUUAGAGUUUUGUUUUCAUAUCAUUUUUUGGUAUUUUCAUUUUUUAUAUAUUUUUUUUAUAUUUUUUUACAGAGCUCUAGAUAAUAAAAAUAUCAGAUGUUUAAGGUUACAGGUAUUAACAAAGUCAUUCUAAUUCAGAAUAUUGCAAAAUUUUAAUGUUGGUUGAUUUUCUCAUUGUUGAAGUCCAUACAGUAACCUAUUUUACAUCAACAUCAUUUGGUCUCUGUAGGAUAGUAAUGUCUCACAUCUCUUCUUUUCAUAACAAAUCAAUUUGUAGGUUCUAUAAA